rnacentral:lncRNA from 1 species
AACAUUGUACGCAAGAUCUUAUCAAACCUCGAUCUAGUACUGCCUUUUCCGAUAAAUUGAUAUAAACUGUUUAACUGUAUGUGUUAUCACUGUUCGGGAAACUUACGAACUGUCAAAUGAAUCUGUCACACUCUGUCAAAGACGUGUUUAUAUGUGGAAAUGAGGCAUGAAUAAAUGGUAUGGUUCACCAAACUACGUGGCAUAUUACGAAGGACUGGAACUUAGUCACAACUACUUUGGCCAGGGAUGAGCAUUGGCGUACUUGAAUGGACGAAAUAGUACUUCUUAAAGAACAUUUAACAGAAGGGUAAAUUGGCCGUAACAACGCACCACCCUAACAAAGGAACAUCGUCCUCAAAACAUCUCACACACAGAUGUCAUUUAUCCUCGCAAAAUUCAGCGAAAUGGACUACAAAAUACUGUGGAGUUCACUACCCAAAGCGGUCAUGUUUUCAUCAUCCCACCGGAACACAAGUCCAGAUUUGGAAUGGAAUUUCUUUAAAAAUUGGAGAAAAAUUGUAAAGAACUACCUAGUAUAACGGUUUUGCACGUCGAAAAUAA